UUGAAAAGCCUCUGCCAACAAAGCCAAACCCCAGCCCAUAUCCAGCUGCCUGCUGCUGGAAUUGCCAGUGUCACAGCUUCUGUGCCAAGCUGCCAGGCAGAAAGAGUUCAUUGCACAGGGGAUGGCAAGAGCAGGCCUUUCCACUGAUCUCUGAAGCACUGAAUACACUUGAAUCACUGGUACUCUGGAGAUAACAUUGCACAGAAUACAACCCCCUCCUCACCUGGUAUCCCCUCAGCUAGGCUUUUAACACCAUCACCUGAGAUUCUGAUCUCAUCAGACAUACCCUGAAUAAUCAAUCUUACUUCUCAGAGUGGAGACCCCAGUGAUGCAAGGAGUGAUGCUAGUGACUUAGCACACAGCAAUCUCCCUUCAAUCAAGGCCAAUAAUGAGUCAAGCCGAGAAGAAAUGCACUGUGAAAAUCCUUAGUCUCCUUCUGCUGAAGCAACCUCAAAAAUAGUGCUUCUAUACAAAAUGGCUGCCUCUUGCCUCCUUAGAAAUGGAUGAGCGACAAUGGAUUUGGCAGCAAAAUUAAAACGAAAGUCCACAGAUGACCAAAAUAUUAUUAACAAAAAAAUGUAACUUGAAAAAUGGGGUUUUCAUAACUGAGUUUUUCAUGAUUAAACUGUUACGGUUGUUUAUGAAAGUUGUAACAAAAACCCUAAACAUUUCCAAAGGUUGUGAAAUUUGAAAAACUGUCAUUGAAAAUUCUAAUAUAAUAAAAGCCU